rnacentral:rRNA from 1 species
UACGGGGGGGGCAAGCGUUGUUCGGAAUUACUGGGCGUAAAGGGCUCGUAGGCGGCCAACUAAGUCAGACGUGAAAUUCCUCGGCUUAACCGGGGAACUGCGUCUGAUACUGGAUGGCUUGAGGUUGGGAGAGGGAUGCGGAAUUCCAGGUGUAGCGGUGAAAUGCGUAGAUAUCUGGAGGAACACCGGUGGCGAAGGCGGCUUCCUGGACCAAUUCUGACGCUGAGGUGCGAAAGCGUGGGGAGCAAACAGG